UCCCUGGUGGCUCAGAGGUUAAAGCGUCUGCCUCCAAUGCAGGAGACCCGGGUUGGAACCCUGGGUCGGGAA
rnacentral:tRNA from 1 species